rnacentral:rRNA from 1 species
AUUGAACGCUGGCGGCAUGCUUUACACAUGCAAGUCGAACGGUAACAGGCCGCAAGGUGCUGACGAGUGGCGAACGGGUGAGUAAUGCAUCGGAACGUGCCCAGUCGUGGGGGAUAACGCAGCGAAAGCUGCGCUAAUACCGCAUACGAUCUAUGGAUGAAAGCGGGGGACCGUAAGGACUCGCGCGAUUGGAGCGGCCGAUGUCAGAUUAGGUAGUUGGUGGGGUAAAGGCUCACCAAGCCAACGAUCUGUAGCUGGUCUGAGAGGACGACCAGCCACGCUGGGACUGAGACCCGGGCCAGACUCCUACGGGAGGCAGCAGUGGGGAAUUUUGGACAAGGGGCGCAAGCCUGAUCCAGCAAUGCCGCGUGCAGGAAGAAGGCCUUCGGGUUGUAAACUGCUUUUGUACGGAACGAAACGGUCCUGGUUACUACCUGGGGCUAAUGACGGUACCGUAAGAAUAAGCACCGGCUAACUACGUGCCAGCCGCCGCAGUAAAAC